AUGUGUUGCUGGUGUUCAGAUUUUCCCCAUCAAUAUCAAAGGAGUAGCUGGAGGGUUUGCAACACUAGUAAACUGGUUCGGCACUUGGGCAGUUUCCUACACUUUCAACUACUUAAUGAGCUGGAGCUCCUAUGGUACCUUCCUUCUUUAUGCGGGGAUUAACGCUGCAGGGAUGGUGUUCGUGAUCACGGUGGUCCCUGAAACGAAAGGGAGGAGUCUUGAGCAGAUUCAAGCAGCUAUCAACAGAGAAUGAAAAAUGCCUGCACUCUUCCAUGUAGUCCCAUUUGAGCUCACAUGGCACUCGCAAUACCACACAUUCGAAGAUGGAAAAUGAUUAUGAAGCAGGCAACAGCAUCCUUCAUAAAACGACGUUAUUGUUGAGAUCUAUCAGUUCAUUUAUAGAGUGGUUUUAUUGCAGGAAAGAGAUAGGGUUAUUUUAUAGGAGAGUGAUUGAUUGAUCUACGAGAAUAAUAUUUCAAUUGCUAGUGAAAAAGCGUGUAUUGCUUUA